AGUGGCGGACGGGUGAGUAACGCGUGAGCAAUCUGCCCUAUACAGAGGAAUAGCCUCGGGAAACUGGGAUUAAAACCGCAUGAUGCUUUUGUAUCGCAUGAUAUAGAAGUCAAAUUGAUUAAGAGGUAUAGGAUGAGCUCGCGUCUGAUUAGCUAGUUGGUAGGGUAAAGGCCUACCAAGGCGACGAUCAGUAGCCGGCCUGAGAGGGUGAACGGCCACACUGGAACUGAGACACGGUCCAGACUCCUACGGGAGGCAGCAGUGGGGAAUAUUGCACAAUGGGCGAAAGCCUGAUGCAGCGACGCCGCGUGAGUGAAGAAGGUCUUCGGAUCGUAAAACUCUGUCCUUGGUGAAGAAAUAAAUGACGGUAGCCAAGGAGGAAGCCCCGGCUAACUACGUGCCAGCAGCCGCGGUAAUACGUAGGGGGCUAGCGUUGUCCGGAUUUACUGGGCGUAAAGGGUGAGUAGGCGGUUACAUAAGUCAGAUGUAAAAGGCUAAGGCUUAACCAUAGUAUGCAUUUGAAACUGUGUGACUUGAGUACAGGAGAGGUAAGUGGAAUUCCUAGUGUAGCGGUGAAAUGCGU
rnacentral:rRNA from 1 species